UACGUAGGGGGCAAGCGUUGUCCGGAAUCAUUGGGCGUAAAGCGCGUGUAGGCGGCUCGGUAAGUCCGCUCUGAAAGUCCGGGGCUCAACCCCGGGAGGCGGGUGGAUACUGUCGAGCUCGAGUCCGGAAGAGGCGAGUGGAAUCCUGGUGUAGCGGUGAAAUGCGCAGAGUAUCAGGAGGAACACCGAUGGCGAAGGCAGCUCGCUGGGACGGUGACUGACGCUGAGACGCGAAAGCGUGGGGAGCAAACAGG
rnacentral:rRNA from 1 species